rnacentral:rRNA from 1 species
GAAUUCAACUCCUACGGGAGGCAGCAGUGGGGAAUUUUGGACAAUGGGGGCAACCCUGAUCCGGCAAUGCCGCGUGAGUGAAGAAGGCCUUCGGGUUGUAAAGCACUUUAAGUUGGGAGGAAGGGCAUUAACCUAAUACGUUAGUGUCUUGACGUUACCGAAAGAAUAAGCACCGGCUAACUCUGUGCCAGCAGCCGCGGUAAUACAGAGGGUGCAAGCGUUAAUCGGAAUUACUGGGCGUAAAGCACGCGUAGGUGGUUUGUUAAGUUGAAUGUGAAAUCCCCGGGCUCAACCUGGGAACUGCAUCCAAGACUGGCAAGCUAGAGUAUGGUAGAGGGUAGUGGAAUUUCCUGUGUAGCGGUGAAAUGCGUAGAUAUAGGAAGGAACACCAGUGGCGAAGGCGACCACCUGGACUAAUACUGACACUGAGGUGCGAAAGCGUGGGGAGCAAACAGGAUUAGAUACCCCAGUAGUCCAGGCGUU